rnacentral:rRNA from 1 species
UACGUAGGUGGCAAGCGUUGUCCGGAAUUAUUGGGCGUAAAGCGCGCGCAGGCGGUUCUUUAAGUCUGGUGUGAAAGCCCCGGGCUCAACCUGGGAAUGGCCAUGGAAACUGGCGAACUGGAGUGUGGCAGAGGGGGGUGGAAUUCCGCGUGUAGCAGUGAAAUGCGUAGAGAUGCGGAGGAACACCGAUGGCGAAGGCAGCCCCCUGGGCUAGCACUGACGCUCAGGCACGAAAGCGUGGGGAGCAAACAGG